UACAGAGGGUGCAAGCGUUGUUCGGAAUUAUUGGGCGUAAAGGGCGCGUAGGCGGUGCGGUAAGUCUGUAGUGAAAUCUCUGGGCUCAACUCAGAGUCUGCUGCAGAAACUGCCGUGCUUGAGUGUGGGAGAGGUGCGUGGAAUUCCUGGUGUAGCGGUGAAAUGCGUAGAUAUCAGGAGGAACACCUGUGGCGAAAGCGGCGCACUGGACCACAACUGACGCUGAGGCGCGAAAGCUAGGGGAGCAAACAGG
rnacentral:rRNA from 1 species